rnacentral:rRNA from 1 species
UACGGAGGGUGCAAGCGUUAUCCGGAUUCACUGGGUUUAAAGGGUGCGUAGGUGGGUUGGUAAGUCAGUGGUGAAAUCUCCGAGCUUAACUUGGAAACUGCCAUUGAUACUAUCAAUCUUGAAUAUUGUGGAGGUCAGCGGAAUAUGUCAUGUAGCGGUGAAAUGCUUAGAUAUGACAUAGAACACCAAUUGCGAAGGCAGCUGGCUACACAAAUAUUGACACUGAGGCACGAAAGCGUGGGGAUCAAACGGG